AGGGCUAUAUAUAGCUCAGCGAUAGAGCACCUUGAUGACCGAGAAUGCCUACGGUUCGAACCUGUAUAGUCCCA
rnacentral:tRNA from 4 species